GAUGAAGAACGCAGCGAAAUGCGAUAAGUAGUGUGAAUUGCAGAAUUCAGUGAAUCAUCGAAUCUUUGAACGCACAUUGCGCCCCUUGGUAUCCCGAGGGGCAUGCCUGUUCGAGCGUCAUUUCACCACUCAAGCCUGGCUUGGUGUUGGGCGACGUCCUCUUUGGGGACGCGCCUCGAAACGCUCGGCGGCGUGGCACCGGCUUUAAGCGUAGCAGAAUCUUUCGCUUUGGAAGUCGGGGCCCCGUCUGCCGGAAGACCUGCUCGCAAGGUUGACCUCGUAUCAGGCAGGGAUACCCGCUGAACUUAAGCAUAUCAAUAAGCGGAGGA
rnacentral:misc_RNA from 1 species